UUCAUUUUAGUAUUAUUAUUUUUUGAGAAGGAGUCUCACUCUGUCACCCAGGCUGAAGUGCA
rnacentral:snoRNA from 1 species